UAUGAAGUUGGAAUCGCUAGUAAUCGCGGAUCAGCAUGCCGCGGUGAAUACGUUCCCGGGCCUUGUACACACCGCCCGUCACACCAUGAGAGUCGGGAACACCCGAAGUCCGUAGUCUAACCGCAAGGGGACGCGGCCGAAGGUGGGUUCGAUAAUUGGGGUGAAGUCGUAACAAGGUAAC
rnacentral:rRNA from 1 species